GACGAACGCUGGCGGCGUGCUUAACACAUGCAAGUCGAACGGAAAGGCCCUGCUUUUGUGGGGUGCUCGAGUGGCGAACGGGUGAGUAACACGUGAGUAACCUGCCCUUGACUUUGGGAUAACUUCAGGAAACUGGGGCUAAUACCGGAUAGGAGCUCCUGCUGCAUGGUGGGGGUUGGAAAGUUUCGGCGGUUGGGGAUGGACUCGCGGCUUAUCAGCUUGUUGGUGGGGUAGUGGCUUACCAAGGCUUUGACGGGUAGCCGGCCUGAGAGGGUGACCGGCCACAUGGGGAAUGAGAUACGGCCCAGACUCCUAAGGGAGGCAGCAGUGGGGAAUAUUGCACAAUGGGCGGAAGCCUGAUGCAGCAACGCCGCGUGCGGGAUGACGGCCUUCGGGUUGUAAACCGCUUUCGCCUGUGACGAAGCGUGAGUGACGGUAAUGGGUAAAGAAGCACCGGCUAACUACGUG
rnacentral:rRNA from 1 species